AAAAAUAGAACGUAGGCUGAAAACAAUAUUUGGACAAAAGACAAAAUUUGAUACAGUAAGAUGAAAUAUUAUCACAGAAGUUUUCACUUCGAAAGGGAGAGAGAUGGUAAUGGACAUGAAGCCAUGAUAUGGAAAAUGCAAAGACAGAUCGAUGCAAUGCAAUAGUGUUGAGGAGAACAAUUUUCAAUGCCAGCAAUCAAGGAGAAAUCAAUCAAAAUCAAUAAAUUCACUUUGUUGGUGCAAGUGUCGUGUUACUUGAACCACAAAAAUCAAUAGAAUGAAGCAGUCCAGGAGAAAGAAGAAACAAAAAUAAGACCAAAAGAGAGAUCUCAAGUAGACAGGCAGGAAUCACGAUUGAGUUUUAAGGUUAUUUUUGUUUUAGCAAUCCUUUAGUUAUUGUACUUGCAGCUUGACAUGAACAAAAUAAAUGAGGAUUGACAGUUUGAUAACAAAGUACAAAUUUAAUUCUGAUAGUUUGAUCAAGAUGAGUAUGACUAAUAUACCACAAAAAGCCUCAAAUAUACAUAAUUUUGCAAGCAAAAACAGUAAAACUUCAAAAUUUUCACAAAAGCAUCAGUCUGUUUACAAACAAGCAUUCAUCACAUAUGGAGAAUCUAUGAUUGAAGACAUAACACUAAAAACAUUAGCAUAGAGCCCAUUAGUAACAAAAUAGUAAUUUCAAUAGGAAUUAAGUAUCAUAAGAAAUUAAAUACUAAAAAGGGUCAGUCUGACCUUGUAUUUAGCAACCUCUUCACUCCCUACCUUGAGAUCACCCCUGGUGAAAUCUUGAUAAUUCAUCUUAUGUGAAUUGAAAAGUUCUUUUGCAGAAUCUAUAAUAAAAUUAUAGCUUUUGGGGACCAAUUACUUGAACUGGCCAUCUAGCAUCAAUACCAUGUUGUUCCAAGCUCUUGCAUAGUUCAUCUAUCAACAACUUUGAGCUCUCCACAUAUUUCUGAUCAAACAAAACAAAAGGAAAGAGUAAAUAUAUCACUUUGUUCAAAUUCUCUUACUGAAACCUUUAACAAAAGAAGACAGCAAUAUUGGUUUCUAAUGCAUCAAUGUCCACUCUUAAUUCUUUAAUCUGAUUCACUCCCUCUGGAAAAGGAAAUUUUCAAGAACUUGCAUAACAAGGGAAGGGAAUUUAAAAUGAAGCAUAUAGAUGUUAAAUUAUUAUAUAUAAAAUAGCAACUAAAUCAGCAGCACAAAGCAUAUUAUAGGUCAGAAUUUAUAUAUAAAAUUAUUAUAAUUUCUUCACAUCUGCAGCCUCUAGUAGUUUAUUGUAAUUGCUCUUCCUGAAACAAAAAGACAGCGAAUUAAUUUACCAUUUAUAUAGAUUUAAAUGUUAUAAUUGAAUUCUUUUAGCUCUGUUUAUAGCUAAUUUCUUCAAAUUUAGAAUCAUAGUACAAUUUAUAUGCUUUCUACUGUACCAUCUGCAACAAACUUUCAAGAUUAAAUACCUGAAAUUUUUAUGUCUGUUUAAGUUUUUCAAAUCAAGCCUAAAAUAUAUCCCGUCAAUGAACACAUCUAAUGCAAACCAACAAUGCUACAAAUAGUUACUGAACAAAACAUUAAUUUCAACAGAACACCAAACACUAAAAUCCCCAAAUCCCAUAUAAUCAAAGAUUGAAAAAAAGAAAAUAACUGAAAUUGAGCAGCAAAAUCCGUGGAAAUUGAUGAAUGCUGAUCAGCGUUAGCUAUUGCGUCGAUUUUUUUUGUGAUAUGUGGGAGCAGUCUAUUCUCUCACUGCUAACUUUUAAUAUAUUUUAAAGCUAUUACCUUUUAAUAUAUUUUUUUUUGUGAUAUGUCUUGACGGCGUCGUAACAGACUUACUGAAAAACCCUAAGCCCUCUUU
rnacentral:lncRNA from 1 species